rnacentral:rRNA from 1 species
CGCCAGCAGCCGCGGUAAGACGAAGGAUCCAAGCGUUAUCCGGAUUCAUUGGGUUUAAAGGGUGCGUAGGCGGAUUUGUAAGUCAGUGGUGAAAGCCGAUAGCUCAACUAUCGAACUGCCAUUGAUACUGCAGAUCUAGAAUAUAGAUGAUGUUGGCGGAAUAUGACAUGUAGCGGUGAAAUGCAUAGAUAUGUCAUAGAACACCGAUUGCGAAGGCAGCUGACAAAACUAUUAUUGACGCUGAUGCACGAAAGUGCGGGGAUCAAACAGGAUUAGAUACCCUGGUAGUCCGCACAGUAAACGAUGAUAACUAGUUGUUUGCGAUAUACAGUAAGCGACCAAGCGAAAGCGAUAAGUUAUCCACCUGGGGAGUACGCCGGCAACGGUGAAACUCAAAGGAAUUGACGGGGGCCCGCACAAGU